rnacentral:rRNA from 1 species
AGGACGAACGCUGGCGGCGUGCUUAACACAUGCAAGUCGAGCGGAAAGGCCCUUCGGGGUACUCGAGCGGCGAACGGGUGAGUAACACGUGAGUAAUCUGCCCCUAGCUCUGGGAUAGCUCCGGGAAAACCGGGAUUAAUACCAGAUACGACCACUUUAGACAUCUGCUGUGGUGGAAAGAAUUUCGGCUAGGGAUGAGCUCGCGGCCUAUCAGCUUGUUGGUGAGGUAACGGCUCACCAAGGCGACGACGGGUAGCCGGCCUGAGAGGGCGACCGGCCACACUGGGACUGAGACACGGCCCAGACUCCUACGGGAGGCAGCAGUGGGGAAUAUUGCGCAAUGGGCGAAAGCCUGACGCAGCGACGCCGCGUGGGGGAUGAAGGCCUUCGGGUUGUAACCCCGUUUCAGCAGGGACGAAGCGAAGUGACGGUACCUGCAGAGAAGCGCCGGCUACUACGCGCCAGCACGCCGC